rnacentral:rRNA from 1 species
AGUGAACGCUGGCGGUAGGCCUAACACAUGCAAGUCGAACGGCAGCACAGUAAGAGCUUGCUCUUACGGGUGGCGAGUGGCGGACGUGUGAGGAAUACAUCGGAAUCUACUUUUUCGUGGGGGAUAACGUAGGGAAACUUACGCUAAUACCGCAUACGACCUACGGGUGAAAGCAGGGGAUCUUCGGACCUUGCGCGAUUGAAUGAGCCGAUGUCGGAUUAGCUGGUUGGCGGGGUAAAGGCCCACCAAGGCGACGAUCCGUAGCUGGUCUGAGAGGAUGAUCAGCCACACUGGAACUGAGACACGGUCCAGACUCCUACGGGAGGCAGCAGUGGGGAAUAUUGGACAAUGGGCGCAAGCCUGAUCCAGCCAUACCGCGUGGGUGAAGAAGGCCUUCGGGUUGUAAAGCCCUUUUGUUGGGAAAGAAAAGCAGCAGGUUAAUACCCCGCUGUUCUGACGGUACCCAAAGAAUAAGCACCGGCUAACUUCGUG